GACUUUUAUUUUGUAUUGUGCUGUGAGUCACUCCUCUUCCGGUCACUCUUCACUUACGUGGCUGUUUUGCUCCUUUUGCGGUCUGACAAAUUUUGUCUUCACCUGUCACACGAUGGAGCUGGAAGCCAUGACUAGAUACACCAGUCCAGUGAACCCUGCAGUGUUUCCUCACCUCACUGUAGUACUGAUGGCCAUCGGCAUGUUCUUCACCGCCUGGUUCUUUGUAUAUGAAGUGACGUCCACGAAGUACACGCGAGAUCUGUACAAAGAGCUGCUGAUUUCUCUGGUGGCUUCGCUCUUCAUGGGCUUCGGCGUUCUGUUCCUCUUACUGUGGGUCGGCAUUUAUGUCUGAAACUGUUUAGACUCUCAUUCUGACGGCACCCAUUCACUGCAGAGGAUCCAUUGAUGAGCAAGUGAUGCAAUGCUGAAUUAAUCCAAAUCUGAUGAAGAAACAAACUCAUCUACAUCUUGCAUGGUCUGCGGGCGGUUUAUAGAGCGUAAAACCCCAAUCCAAGCUUAAUCUGACUGACCAGAAUAAAACAAGUCUGUCAGUGUGGAGAGCUCUGAGAUAAAGCAACUACAGCCGCGUGCCAUGACAAAUAAAAGAAAA